AUUGAACGCUGGCGGCAUGCCUUACACAUGCAAGUCGAACGGCAGCACGGGUGCUUGCACCUGGUGGCGAGUGGCGAACGGGUGAGCAAUACAUCGGAACAUGUCCUGUAGUUGGGGAUAGCCCGGCGAAAGCCGGAUUAAUACCGCAUACGAUCUACGGAUUAAAGCGGGGGACCUUCGGGCCUCGCGCUAUAGGGUUGGCCGAUGGCUGAUUAGCUAGUUGUUGGGGUAAAGGCCUACCAAGGCGACGAUCAGUAGCUGGUCUGAGAGGACGACCAGCCACACUGGGAGUGAGACACGGCCAAGACUCCUACGGGAGGCAGCAGUGGGGAAUUUUGGACAAAGGGCGAAAGCCUGAUCCAGCAAUGCCGAGUGUGUGAAGAAGGCCUUCGGGUUGUAAAGCACUUUUGUCCGGAAAGAAAUCCUUGGCUCUAAUACAGUCGGGGGAUGACGGUACCGGAAGAAUAAGCACCGGCUAACUACGUG
rnacentral:rRNA from 1 species